rnacentral:rRNA from 1 species
CUAUAAUGCAGUCGACGAACUCUGGUAUUGAUUGGUGCUUGCAUCAUGAUUUACAUUUGAGUGAGUGGCGAACUGGUGAGUAACACGUGGGAAACCUGCCCAGAAGCGGGGGAUAACACCUGGAAACAGAUGCUAAUACCGCAUAACAACUUGGACCGCAUGGUCCGAGUUUGAAAGAUGGCUUCGGCUAUCACUUUUGGAUGGUCCCGCGGCGUAUUAGCUAGAUGGUGGGGUAACGGCUCACCAUGGCAAUGAUACGUAGCCGACCUGAGAGGGUAAUCGGCCACAUUGGGACUGAGACACGGCCCAAACUCCUACGGGAGGCAGCAGUAGGGAAUCUUCCACAAUGGACGAAAGUCUGAUGGAGCAACGCCGCGUGAGUGAAGAAGGGUUUCGGCUCGUAAAACUCUGUUGUUAAAGAAGAACAUAUCUGAGAGUAACUGUUCAGGUAUUGACGGUAUUUAACCAGAAAGCCACGGCUAACUACGUGCCAGCAGCCGCGGUAAUACGUAGGUGGCAAGCGUUGUCCGGAUUUAUUGGGCGUAAAGCGAGCGCAGGCGGUUUUUUAAGUCUGAUGUGAAAGCCUUCGGCUCAACCG